rnacentral:tRNA from 1 species
GUGGGUAUAGCUCAGUUGGUAGAGCCCUGGAUUGUGAUUCCAGUCGUCGCCGGUUCGAGCCCGGUUACCCACCCCA